GUCUGCGGCCAUGCCACCCUGAACAAGCCUGAUGUCUGAUCUCGGAAGCUAAGCAGGGUCAGAGACCACGGAUGUUAGUAUUUGGAUGGGAGACCACCUAGGAAGACCAGGUGCUGUAGGCA
rnacentral:rRNA from 1 species